rnacentral:tRNA from 1 species
GGCCCCUUGGUCAAGUGGUUAAGACACCGCCCUUUCACGGCGGUAACAGGGGUUCGAGUCCCCUAGGGGUCACCA